GCGUUAUCGCUUUGUAUCGCAAGGUAACUCAAAGUUCUUCUUAAAUAUUCAUCGAAUGUCAACAUUUGAGACUGUGAUCACCGGUAUGGAGCGAAGGUCAUGCCCGACUCUCAAUUCUAAGGCUCGACAAAUGUCUUUGUCGCAACUUUUCUGCGAUAUCUAUAAAUCCAAGACAUAUUGCGAGGGACACAUCCUGGGACCAUUAGAAAGUGCAAAUACUACUAUUUUCUGGUACCGACCUCGCUCACAUCUGGAAGCAACUAGCAUACCUCCCUAAUCCCGUAACCAUAGAAUCCACAGCUAUAUAAGACCAACGCAAAAGGAAAAUAGAAAGCGUUCGACAUGGUCUGGCAUGAAGCCCUACGAAAAAUCACAACUCCCACCCCAAUCACCAGCAUCAUCAAAAACUAUUUACAAGACAGAUAUAAUUCUAUGUAUCAGUACAAGGAAUCAAAUCAGAGACACACACCAUGAAGGCCGAAGUACCGCAGGGCUCUAUGCUCGGGCCAACGCUUUUCUGUAUAUACAUUAACGACAUUCCCACCACCACUAACACUCGUAUACGUCAUCAUGGAACCCGACACAGGCAAUGAAGUAUUUACAAACCCACAUCAACGCCAUACUUGAGAAUAAGAAUUAACCUAAAAAAGACUCAGGCCAUCACCUUCUCCCGCAGACCCCUGCAAGUCACAAAUAAAGUGCUGAUCGAUGAACGCUCCAUCCCAUGGUCAAUUACCUAGGAAUAACACUAGACAAUAAACUCAUAUGGGCUAAAGUCAUAGAAAAAAGAAUUACUCUUGUCUACCCAACACUAUCCAGGAUAUACCCUUCCAUAGCCUGAAAUAGCAAACAUCUUAUUGUACCUAACAUGCACAAGACCAAUAAUUACUUAUGGAUAUCAAGUAUGGGCCUCUGCUGCCAAAGGACACAUCAACAAAAUGCAAAUCAUACAAAACAAAUUCUUUAGAAUUAUUCUCAAUAAACAGAGGGACACAAUCCAUCAUAGCACAGCUCCAUUAAUUAGCCAACAUCCCCAUGAUCAAACAGUAUAUUCAAAACUCACUACCAGGAGCCUACAACAACAACCAUCAAAACCUGCUCAUCAGGGAAACAGGCAACUAUCAAAUCGAAAACACCACUCAAAGUCAAGGUCAAAUUACCUAAACACAAUAACCUAAUGAACAACCGGAACCAAAAAGUUUCGGAACGAGUUCAGGAACCUGCAGGUUUUAAAGGGCACUCCAAGCCCAAGGUACUGCAGACAUCUUGACUAAUUAAAAAACAAAAAAAAAAAAAAAAAAAGAAUAGACAUUUAAUGUUUUUUGGCAAUCGUACAGUGUAUACAUAAUCAUGUGAAUACAUAAUCCUAAAGUAUAGUAGUGGUAAUAAUAAUAAUAAUAAUAACAGUAAUGAUGAUGAUAAUAAUAAUGCACUAAGUGAUUUUCUGGAUAUUAUUAUUAUUACAACAUGUUCUACAAGAUAGCGGCGGCAGCUUUGUUUUCGUCUGGCACGGCAAAAUAUAGUUCGUAUUUUUCGUUUUUCGUCUACUCUCGCUCGACUUUUUCUUUUUGUUGUUGUUGUUGUUGUUGUUGUUGAUGUUUGCGAGUAGCGGUACGGUGUAUAAUCUAUGAUUACGCUUAAUGAGAUCGCAUGUCGCGCGAUGAUCCAUGCGUUUUUUUACGAGACGAUUAACUAUUCCUUUUAUUUUUUUUUUUUUUCUUUUUAAAUAUCUAUAAGCAUUGUCGAUUAAAGUACACAUACAAUAAUUGUUUCGUCGAUUCUCAAUAUCUUACAGCUAAGCAUAAUGUAACAUUGAAAUGUAUAAACAGUUUUUCUUUUUUUUUUCUUUUUUUUCUUUUUUUUUUUU